rnacentral:rRNA from 1 species
CUGGCUCAGGAUGAACGCUAGCGGCAGGCUUAACACAUGCAAGUCGAGGGGCAUCGGGAGUAGCAAUACUUGCCGGCGACCGGCGCAAGGGUGCGUAACGCGUGAGCAACAUGCCCGUAUCAGGGGGAUAAUCCAUGGAAACGUGGUCUAAUACCCCAUAGUAAUUAUGUAAGGCAUCUUAUAUAAUUUAAAGCUUUGGUGGAUACGGAUUGGCUCGCGUGACAUUAGCUAGAUGGUAAGGUAACGGCUUACCAUGGCUACGAUGUCUAGGGGUUCUGAGAGGAAGGUCCCCCACACUGGAACUGAGACACGGUCCAGACUCCUACGGGAGGCAGCAGUGAGGAAUAUUGGACAAUGGAUGGAAAUCUGAUCCAGCCAUGCCGCGUGCAGGAAAGACGGCCCUAUGGGUUGUAAACUGCUUUUGUAUGGGAGCAAUAAGGGCUACGCGUAGUCCGAUGAGAGUACCAUACGAAUAAGCACCGGCUAACUCCGUGCCAGCAGCUGC